GCGGUUCACGGGUUCGCGGGUCUCACUUUUCGGUUUCAAGUGACUAUGAAUGGUCGGGUCCGGUUCAUAUAAUUUGAACCACGGUUAACCGAACCGACCCGCAUAAUUAUAUUUUAUUUAUUUAUUUUGAUACUUAUACGAUGCAAUUUAGUGUUUUGUUCACAGGGUCACCUCUUCACUCAUUCACCACAACUAGUAAUUCCUCCAAACCCUAGCAGAGAAGUGUGCCUCACUUGCAUACCUCAUCUGCCGCCUCCUCCUCUCCUUCUUCUCAUCCACCGCCGCUGCUCUUGUCCAUCCACCAUCAUCUUAUAUAUUUCUUGUUCCUUUUCUUUUUUCGUUUCUCUUUCCUUUCUUGAAUUCUUUUGUUAACUCUAAACUUUUUUUGGUUUAUUUAUCUUGAUAUGUACAAGAAGAAGGAAGUAUAUUUGUUUUUCAAUCAAAGUAUCCAAAUUCCCAUCUCAGUUUUUUUUUUCAACCAUCUUCAACCU
rnacentral:lncRNA from 1 species